CCUACGGGGGGCUGCAGUAACGAAUCUUCGUCAAUGCACGAAAGUGUGAACGAGCGACGCCGCGUGUAGGAUGAAGUCCUUCGGGAUGUAAACUACUGUCAGGGGAAAGAAAGUUCUGAUCUACCCCAGAGGAAGGGACGGCUAACUCUGUGCCAGCAGCCGCGGUAAGACAGAGGUCCCAAGCGUUAGGCGGAAUCACUGGGCUUAAAGCGUGUGUAGGCGGAUUUGCAAGUACCUUGUGAAAUCCCACGGCUUAACCGUGGAACUGCUUGGUA
rnacentral:rRNA from 1 species